AGGUCUUAGUGAUCCACACUACUGAUCACUUCUUGACAUUGACCACAUUGAUUUCAAGUAAUACUAACCCAUUCUACAUUUCUCUCUCUUCUCCCUUACUGUACCUCACUUGUGAGGUAUAUCAUCACCA